AGUAAUUAAUAUCAACUUUGAAGCAAAUCACCACUAAAAUAACUUUCUACCCCUUUUUAACAUAGUUAGGGGGUGCAUUUCACUAAAAUACGAAACACGUCUUCCAUUAAUUCUGUUAUAGAAUGCUUAUGCAAAAUUUUAAGUAGAUUGGACGAAGGAAUCUCGUUAUUUCAUACAAACUUUGCCCCUCCUUUUUACCUCCUUAGGGGUAGAAUUUUGGAAAAUCCUUUCUUAUCAGAUGCUUACGUCAUACAAAGAACACACCGUCCAAGUUUCAGGUCUUUACGAUCAGCGGUUUAGGCUGUGCAUUGAUCCAUCAGUAGCGCGCGUAGUACCUACUUGAUCAUUAUUUUGCUGCGAUGUGAUUUUAAAACUGGGAUAUCUCCUAAGAUAUUUAUUGAAAUCGAAUGGUGUAAAGGGCAAGAAUGUUUAAAAUUAAAUACUUGUGGUGAAUAAUUUAUUUAUUUGGAUAAGGAUUAAUAUCAUGUUUAUAAAAACACCUUCGCAAAUAAUGCAUUAUUUUAAAACAGAUUUUUUUUGCAUAAAAAUGGUUACUAUGAGCCAACCUUAAAAGAUAGACAUAUGCUACCGCGGACUUUUUUAAAGAGCUUUUAAAGGGGAACAAUCCUGUCAUACAUGAUUUUUGCGAAACUUUAACCGUUUACGCAGCAUCAGCUCUCAAAAGGUAAAAAUUCAUUGAUUUGAAAUAUUCUUGAUUGGUGCUCCGCUCCUAUUGGUCUUAGCGUGAUGAUAAAUAGCCUAAAGCCUUCAGGAACUAACGGGCUAUCCAACACAAAAAGAAUUUUUCAAAUCGGUCCAGUAGUUCCUGAGAUUAGCGCGUUCAACCAAACAAACAAACAAACAAACUCUUCAGCUUUAUAAUAUUAGUAUAUUAUAAAUGUCUUCAUUAAAGUAAAUAUAUUAUGUAAUUUUAACAGAGGGACUUAUAUUAGGCUGUCUUUACAUAACUAAAUUAUUAUUUUAUAGCUCUAAUGUAAACUUUCAUCAAUCAUUCCUCCCUCCAAUCCAAUGACAUAUAAAAACAUCUUAAAGAUGACCUAAACUCUAUGCCUAAACUGAACUGUCCCACCAAACUCAUUGAUAAGGGGGCGCUACCGUCGUUCAACUAUAUAGUUUCCAACAUGGCAAAAAAUCGGAACCAGCGAUCCGGUAUUGACGGUGGCGCCCCGCUGCCAAUGUCAAGGUUUUAUUUCUAUCAUAUUUUUUUUACCACCAAAACUGUCAGAUGCUAUUUUUCAAAUAGCCCUAUCCUACUAUUUGAUACAAAAUCUAACGAAAUGAAUACUUUACAUUUCUUGUGGGCUGCCCACAGGGAAGAAUUGCGGAGAAGGCGGAAAAUGCGAGAAUUAGCCAGAAUAUAUGAAGAAAAUUUUGAAGACAUGCCAGAGCUUCUGUUCAGGCAACGUUACAGGCUUAACAAAGGCCAAUUUCAGGAGCUUUGUCAUAUAUUGAAACAGGAAACCUCUUUGCGGGGAAAUACAAUAAUUUCUCUGGAAUCCAAGAUGAGCUGCCUGCAGGAUCUGUUGCAACAGCCACUUUUCUGGAGCAUUUUAACAAUUUAUUUGAUUUACUUAAUGCGCAUGCAUUCACCAGACUGGCAAGAAGGGAAGCAAUCAGUGUGUAUAAUAUUAAUUAAAAGAUUUUGUUUAAUAGAGAACAGAAGGUUCUCCACUGAAUCUGCCUAGUAAAGGCUGCCAAAAAAAAAUAAAAAUAUUAAAAAAUUCAUA